rnacentral:pre_miRNA from 1 species
CAACUACUCCCUCUGUCCCAGAUUUCUUGUCUUAGAUUUGUCUAGAUACGGAUGUAUCUAAUACUAAAAUGUGACUUGAUACAUCCAUAUCUAGACAAAUCUAAGACAAGAAUUUUGGGACGGAGGGAGUACUUU